AUGAACGCUGGCGGCGUGCCUAAUACAUGCAAGUCGAGCGAACGGACGAGAAGCUUGCUUCUCUGAUGUUAGCGGCGGCCGGGUGAGUAACACGUGGAUAACCUACCUAUAAGACUGGGAUAACUUCGGGAAACCGUAGCUAAUACCGGAUAAUAUUUUGAACCGCAUGGUUCAAAAGUGAAAGACGGUCUUGCUGUCACUUAUAGAUGGAUCCGCGCUACAUUAGCUAGUUGGUAAGGUAACGGCUUACCAAGGCAACGAUGCAUAGCCGACCUGAGAGGGUGAUCGGACACACUGGAACUGAGACACGGUCCAGACUCCUACGGGAGGCAGCAGUAGGGAAUCUUCCGCAAUGGGCGAAAGCCUGACGGAGCAACGCCGCGUGAGUGAUGAAGGUCUUCGGAUCGUAAAACUCUGUUAUUAGGGAAGAACAUAUGUGUAAGUAACUGUGCACAUCUUGACGGUACCUAAUCAGAAAGCCACGGCUAACUACGUG
rnacentral:rRNA from 1 species